UUUGCUGUGGUGCAGCCAGUCACAAUCAGCUUCACCACCUGAAACACGUUCAUUUACGGCCCUUAGUUUCAGGCCACUCAUUAAAGCUCAUCUCAGCGAGAUUUCCUUGUUUCCCUGCGGCCUCAUGAGAAAUCCUUGCAUGUCAUUGUAAAUUAGAGGCGAUCCCACAUUCUGUGCCAAACAUCAGAAAGCAGAAGGUGCCAGGAACGUUUCCGGUAUUUGGCAACAAUUAAGCAACGCUGUGAAAAACAAUGACAAGAAGAGAGAAGAGAGGAUGAGAGAGUGUUUUACCUCCAUUCUGGGUGAUGUAUCGCACCCAGGGCAGGGCCUGAUAGCCGCUCUUCUCGAUGAUCUUCAG